rnacentral:rRNA from 1 species
CCUACGGGGGGCAGCAGUGAGGAAUAUUGGUCAAUGGACGAGAGUCUGAACCAGCCAAGUAGCGUGAAGGAUGACUGCCCUAUGGGUUGUAAACUUCUUUUAUAAAGGAAUAAAACGAGGCACGUGUGCCUUUUUGCAUGUACUUUAUGAAUAAGGAUCGGCUAACUCCGUGCCAGCAGCCGCGGUAAUACGGAGGAUCCGAGCGUUAUCCGGAUUUAUUGGGUUUAAAGGGAGCGUAGAUGGGUUGUUAAGUCAGUUGUGAAAGUUUGCGGCUCAACCGUAAAAUUGCAAUUGAUACUGGCAGUCUUGAGUACAGUUGGGGUAGGCGGAAUUCGUGGUGUAGCGGUGAAAUGCUUAGAUAUCACGAAGAACCCCGAUUGCGAAGGCAGCUUACUAAACUGUGACUGACGCUGAAGCACGAAAGCGUGGGUAUCGAACAGGAUUAGAUACCCCUGUAGUC